CGAACGCUGGCGGCGUGCCUAACACAUGCAAGUCGCACGAGAAAGUCCUUCGGGAUGAGUAGAGUGGCGCACGGGUGAGUAAUACAUGGGAACGUGCCUCUAAGAGGGGGAUAACUACGGGAAACUGUAGCUAAUACCGCGUAACAUCGAAAGAUUAUAGGUGGCCUCUGCUUGCAAGCUACUACUUAGAGAUCGGCCCAUGUCCCAUUAGCUAGUUGGCGGGGUAAGAGCCCACCAAGGCGACGAUGGGUAGCUGGUCUGAGAGGAUGAUCAGCCACACUGGAACUGAGACACGGUCCAGACUCCUACGGGAGGCAGCAGUGGGGAAUUUUGCACAAUGGGGGAAACCCUGAUGCAGCAACGCCGCGUGAGUGAAGAAGGCCUUUGGGUUGUAAAGCUCUUUCGGUUGGGGAGAAGGGUGACAUGGCUAAUAUCCAUGUUAUUUGACGGUACCAAAAGAAGAAGCACCUGCUAACUUCGU
rnacentral:rRNA from 1 species